rnacentral:rRNA from 1 species
ACUAACUAGGAUUCCCUUAGUAACGGCGAGUGAACCGGGAUGAGCUCAAAUUUAAAAUCUGGCGUCUUUCAGGCGUCCGAGUUGUAAUCUAUAGAGGCGUUUUCCGCGCCGGACCGCGUCCAAGUCUCUUGGAAUAGAGUAUCAAAGAGGGUGACAAUCCCGUACUUGACGCGACAACCGGUGCUCUGUGAUACGUUCUCAAUGAGUCGAGUUGUUUGGGAAUGCAGCUCUAAAUGGGUGGUAAAUUCCAUCUAAGGCUAAAUAUUGGCGAGAGACCGAUAGCGAACAAGUACCGUGAGGGAAAGAUGAAAAGCACUUUGGAAAGAGAGUUAAACAGCACGUGAAAUUGUUAAAAGGGAAACGAUUGAAGUCAGUCGUGUGAAAGGUAUUCAGCCGUCUCUGGCGGUGUAUUUGCCUUUCACGGGUCAACAUCAGUUUGAUCCGGUAGAAAAAGGCGGGAGGAAGGUGGCACCCUCGGGUGUGUUAUAGCCUCCUGUCAUAUGUGCCGGACCAGACUGAGGAACGCAGCUUGCCGCAAGGCCGGGGUUCGCCCACGUACAAGCUUAGGAUGU